AGUUAAUGAAAGUGGAUAUGGACACUCAAGAAUUAAAAUUAUGGUCGGAAGAGGGAUACUUCGUAUCGGAGCCAGUGUUCGUAGCUACCCCCGGGGCAACGAAGGAGGAUGAGGGCAUGGUCCUCAGCGCAAUCAGUCCAGGUGAUAAAGACAAGAAGGCGUUUUUGUUAUUACUCAAUGCGCAGACGUUUUUAGAAGAAGCCCGUGUGACCUUUGACACAGACAGAUUUUCAAGAGAUUUCCAUGGAUUUUUUAAGCCAGAAAUGCAACGAAUUUUACAUUCAAAAAGGAAAGAAAACCAGUCUGAUAGUUGAUGUUGAAACAAUAAUGUUGGAUAUAAAUGCACAAAUUUUAAUGUAUAAUGCAUGAACUUUGAAAGCUUUUCCACGGUGCAUGGAAUCAUCAAUGCGAGGGACCAAUGUUCGUGGAUUUCAUGGCUCAUCCUUAUCCAUGAAUUUAUAUCUCCGUGAACAAUUAUUAUCUGGACAACAUUAAUUUCAUUCAAUCUUCUGUAUAUACGAGUUAUUCACGAAAUUAAGUCCCCAUGUGCACGAACCAACAAAAUUUUACUUGCCGUGGACCAACAAUUACAUAACCCCCACGAAUUAAAAUGAUUUUACAGUAAACUUCAUGAAAACAUGUAGACUGACAAUGCUGCAAAAAAAAUUGUGAUACUAAUACACUAUAUGCUUUAUUGAGACCAAAGUUAACAAUUCAUAUAAAUGUAUAUUUAACUUCAGUCUGAAAUAUCAAGUCGAAAUGAUAUACCUGAAGAAUACCACACAGUGGUCAUUCAAAAUACCCACACGUGACACUUUCUGUGCAGGAUUUCAUCCAAAAAUAAUGUUUAAUAUUAUGACUGUACAUGACUAUAAAUCAUACUCUUUAAUUAAAUCUAUUCGAAAUAUACUUGUUAAUAAUAAACAAUGUAUGAACUUUUUACAUA